GACACAGUUUACACUAACAGCCAACCUCAGUCUAAGGUCACUGAAAGAUUUUUGCACUUCAUAAGAUUGUUGUUGCUCAUGUAGCUGUUUAAGUAACUAAAGUGUCACACACCCUUUUGUGCAGACUUUGAUUAACAGAUUUUUUUUUAAGUCGUCCGUUCUGUAAUGUGAGUAAUGCGAGUAGUUACAAGAUGUAUGGACCAUUUAAGGGUUAAAUCAAGCAUGAAUAGGCAUUAUAUAAGGAUGGGCGGUUCAUGAAGAGGCAGAAGCUCAGACCUUCAUCGUGUUGCUGGUUCAACUCUCUUCAACAAUGGGGAUUUUUAAUUUUUUGCUGGAUUUUGACUUCAAGGUGCUAUUCCUCUUUAUUUUCGUUUUCAUCAUAAUAGCAGACUUCCUCAAGAACAGGAAUCCUCCAAAUUAUCCUCCAGGACCGUUUUCUCUUCCCCUUGUGUGGAAUUUUUUCAGCAUGGACAGGAAACAUCCAUACAAGUAUUUUUCAAAGCUGGCUGACAUCUACGGGAAUGUGUUCAGUGUCCGCCUCGGUAGU